rnacentral:piRNA from 1 species
UAGUAAGCUCUUGAGGGCAAAUGAUGC